rnacentral:rRNA from 1 species
UGCCAGCCGCCGCGGUAAUACGGAGGGUGCAAGCGUUGUUCGGAAUUAUUGGGCGUAAAGCGCGUGUAGGCGGUUCGUUAAGUCUGAUGUGAAAGCCCGGGGCUCAACCCCGGAAGUGCCUCUAAUACUGCUAGUCUUGAGUUCGAGAGAGGUGAGUGGAAUUCCGAGUGUAGAGGUGAAAUUCGUAGAUAUUGGGAAGAACACCAGUGGCGAAGGCGGCUAACUGGCUCGGUACUGACGCUGAGAUGCGAAAGCGUGGGGAGCAAACAGGAUUAGAUA